GUGGGGAAUUUUGGACAAUGGGCGAAAGCCUGAUCCAGCCAUGCCGCGUGCAGGAUGAAGGCCUUCGGGUUGUAAACUGCUUUUGUACGGAACGAAAAGACUCCUUCUAAUAAAGGGGGUCCAUGACGGUACCGUAAGAAUAAGCACCGGCUAACUACGUGCCAGCAGCCGCGGUAAUACGUAGGGUGCGAGCGUUAAUCGGAAUUACUGGGCGUAAAGCGUGCGCAGGCGGCUAUGCAAGACAGAUGUGAAAUCCCCGGGCUCAACCUGGGAACUGCAUUUGUGACUGCAUGGCUAGAGUGCGUCAGAGGGAGGUGGAAUUCCGCGUGUAGCAGUGAAAUGCGUAGAGAUGCGGAGGAACACCGAUGGCGAAGGCAGCCUCCUGGGAUGACACUGACGCUCAUGCACGAAAGCGUGGGGAGCAAACAGGAUUAGAUACCCGAGUAGUCC
rnacentral:rRNA from 1 species